GAACAAUCAUUUCCGGGUUUGUGGCGUUCGGAAGCCAAAACGUCCAAGUUCCAGGGCAUUCGGGAUCCAAGGUACGACUGUGCUGUACUUGCUUAUUCUUCAUCUUACUUUGAACAUAGCUGAGGAAACUGUUAUUAUUUUUAACCUCUCUUACAAGCCUGAGCUAAUUCUGAGCUUUGGCCUGCCUGACCUUCCCCCUGCAACUGUUGGCUAUUUGUAUAUACUCUUCCUUCAUGAUUCCCCCCCCCCUCCAUUUUUUAUAUAUGUCCUUAAAUAGUGGCUAUGUCCGGGAAAUUCUGGACGUAUGGCAACCUUAUUGUACCUACUUGGAUCAGAAGGAGAGGAUUGUAUUCAGUGGACUUAUAAGACUUUGCAACCUCCCCCCUAGUCCAGCGAUGAGAAAGCUCAGGCUCAUGGGACCUCCACUAAUUGCUAAUAUGCCACCCAGUGUAAUUCAGGGCGUUGAGAUUAGCCUAUUAAACUCCAUAAUGAACUAGAACCUAAAUACAUGCAGGAAAACCUCUGCGUAUAUCAAUCUUCUUCAGCUCCAACCUGCUGCGGACACAUUUAUUGUCUCUUGUCCUUUCACUUGAAGAUACAUAUGGCACCUUCACUAGUGGGUUUUCAUCACUGACUUGCCUUUUCAAACAGGCCUUGCCUGGGGGAGGGGGGAAUUGAGUGCAGUUAUUUGGUGAGACCAAUUAAAAUUUAAGUGUUCUGGAUGACAUGCAAUGAGGUCCACUCACUCAACAGAAAUUCAGCUGCAUGACAGUACCUCCAAUUUCUUUUAUCCCCCCUUCAGCCCCCUCACACACCCCAAAUUUGCUUGAGAAUGUCUCCCAACCCUCUGGAACAGAUUUAGGAGUCAUGGGAUGUUGCAGAGCUGGAGAGUAAACCACUAUUGCAUGUACGUAUGCUUGCUUGCACUACAUUGGACCUCACCUUUCAUUUGCUGUAGGAAUGCAGAUGUUGCGAUUGGUGUAAUUAUUUUAUGACUGUUUUGAUUGUUUUAAUAUAAAUAUUGUAGAUCACCCAGUGAUCUUGACAAAAAUAGAGGUUACACAAUGAAAUAAACAUAUCAGGUUUAAAAGAAACUAGAUGGAAGAAAUAUGUGGAACUCACUGCCACUGGUUCAGAAAAGAACUAAACACAUAUAUGAAUCAUAGGAAAAACAGCAGUUACUGGUUAAACAUGUCUGCACACAUCUGAAAAAAAUAUUUGGGAAUUUUAAUUCUUCCUUGAUUUGGAGGAAAGACCCAUAGGUAGCUGUGUAACCACCAGGUUCUAUGUGGGGUUAGGCACAACUAACUGCAUAGGAAAUAAUCCUCACUGAACUAAACAUGCAUAGGAUCAGAUUGCACUAUCCUAGCCUGUUUUUGCAUUUGAACUCGUCGUUCAUGUUUAUUCUACCAUCGCGUGGGUUUAUUUAUUUUCCCCUGCGGCGCUUAAAUACAUUGUAUUGCAAUCAGCCCCGCACAUCUGGAACAGGCAGCUGUCACUAUUUCUGGUGGUGACAGAUCUGUCUCUGAGGCUGCGCUGACUGACUUGACUUCUGGAGGCCAGUGCACAAAAGGAAACUCCUUUUCUCAAUUAUUAAUAGCUCAAAGGAAAGAGGCCGCAUCGCCGCAGAAGAAGCAACUUCCACCCUGGGAAGAUUUCUCUGCUAAAAAUGGAGGUGAAAUCUUUUGGUGAUGGGUCCUUUCCCGCUCCUGCAAAACGAGCCAGCUUCUCGCCCUUUGCUGGGAAACCUAAUAACAGCGUUCAGGUUGCAGGCCGCAUGCAACCUCACACUGUACAGCCUGAGUUUCAAGGGCAAAACUCAAGUUGAACGCUCGCCUGGCCGCGAGUCUGUCAGCCAUGGCCUCUCCCCGCUGUGUGGCAAAGCGGCAGCUCGCUGCAGAGCUAACAAGGCGCCUGCGCGGGAGCAGCAGCCGUAGGCCCGGAGCAGCCAAGAAACGGGAAGCUCCGCCCAAGCUGAUAGCCAUAUAUGGCAACUAGGCCCUCGGGGGUGACGUCAUGGGCUCGCUGAACUCUAAUAUGGGGCAGGUUUUCUCCUGAAUGACUGGCUGCCAGGCAGUCGGGAAAGACGCCUCUAGGAGCUUUUGACAGCUUCGCUGCAGAGGUCAGCCAAGGGGAGGAAACGAGGGGCCUGCAGACUGGGAGAGAAGUCUGCCUGCGGAAGGGGGAUCUCGACUAGAGGCACCCCCUCGAUGGCUGCAAAGGAAAAUCACGUUGCCUGACAAUAGGAGGAAAGGAGCUCCACUCACAGGCAGCCUGAGAGCUGUAGUGGGAUGUCCUCCCACAGGAAUCCUUCUAUUUUUAAAUCUCACUCUUUACUACAGCUUUACUAUGAGCAUAAAAAGCAGAGCAGGGACUGCAGCAAGCAAGUCUAAGACCGCCGUUCUCCUCCUAAGCAUAAUCAAAUUUCGCUGAAAUCAGUGGGCUUUCAAAGUAGAUCAAGAUGGAAGGCAUACUGUUUUUACAAAGUGGGUUUCCACCAUCACUAAUAAAAAGCUACCGAGGAAUGUGGAAUGCAAAAGGAAAAAGGCUAAGAAACGGCUCCGGCUUACACAACUGUAAUUAGGCUUGUCUUUGCAGGGGCCUUCAAGAAGCUGCAGCUCUCUUUUAUUUUGCUGCAUUUAAACCAUUAGCCUCAUGUGCAAAGAUGUUAAUUCAAGCUGCCCCCCCCCCAAUUUAUUUUUUACAGUCAUCAACUUGCACACCUUUUCAAUGAAUGCAUUUAUGAUCAAUUUCAAAGAAGAAAUGAUUGGUGUGUUUAGAGAUAACAUUUAUUAUGUCAUAAACUCUUGUGGUCUACAGACCACUUCCUCAGAUGCAAAAAUGCUUUUACAGUAAUAAAUGAAUAACAAUACAAUCCUCUACAUAUUUACUCAGAAGCAAGUCUCUCAUAGUUUAAUAGAGUUUAUGCCCUUGUAACUACACUCUUGUGUGUUUACUGCAGCUUAAAACUGCAAUUGCACAAUCCUAGACAUAUCUACUCAGAGGUAAGUCCUAUUAAGUCCAACAGGGAUUUCUCCUGGGAAAGUUAAGAUUAUAACCAAACUCUAUGAGGACUACAGAAUUUUGUUUUGUUUUGCGGCAACAGACUAACAGGACUACCUGUUUAGAUAUUAGUCAGGAGACGUUAUCUUAAGUACCUUUGAAAUAUUUUUACAUGUAAACACUAUAAAUUUUAUUUGGUUUAUGGUGGAAUAGACAUGGCAUCUCUAAGGUGGCAUCUCUAAGGUUACUUACAGUUGUCUACCUCCCUUUCUAGCUCCAAACUCUGAAGGAGGGCUGGAGCUCAUCCCUGACAUGCUCCUCCGCCUCUGAGGCACUUGGAGCACCUCCACAGCACAGCGCUGCACAGGUUAGUCCUCCUAAUCUUGGAGUUGGGAAGCUGAGACAUUCCUGUCAUCACACCACAUUUCGGACAUGCUCCAAGCAUCUCCACAGUCCAGCAUGACAUAAAUGAUCCCCAUCCUGAGCACUGUUUGUGGACUCCUUGCCCUUACAAGUGUUCAGCAGCACCUUUCACCGAAGGGUUGCUGUAACCCAUGCAUUAUAAUGUGCAUUCUUAGAUUAAUACUUUAAAGCUGUAUUACCUGAGAAUACAUUUUUCCAUCUUAAGCUGCUAUGACAUCAUGCUAGGUGACAAAAAUGUAAUUAAAUCAAGUGUGUUGAUAGGCUUCUGCUCUUUGACAUUAAAAUGUGCAGGAACAUUGUGUUACACUACUGCAGAUUGAAGGCUGGAAGGAUAUAUGGCUUUUACAUCAAUAUUAUUGCAAGUCAACUGAAUCUUUUCCAGUCAGGAAUCAGUUUUUCAGCCUUUUUUAUUAACCAUUUCUAGAUAACUCUUCAAUGUGCCUUAGAAAUUCCACAUCAUUUAUCUCCACAACAGCCCUGUAAGCCAGUUGAAAUUGAGGAAAAUGAAACUUGCCCAGGACCACAGAGCUAAGUAGAUAUUUGAAUGUGGGUCUCUCACACCUCAAAACAACACUCCUGGUACUGCAAUACACUGACCACCACUGUCUUGAUGGAAAACAGCAUUCUUGCCUUAUCCCAGGUGAAACUGUUGGUCCAUCUACCACAGAAUGGCCAAUUCUGACAUGAAAUGGUUCUCCAGCCUUGAGCAGAGCUAUUUCAAAUCACCUGUUACCUAAUCCUUUUAUUUUAAAUAGGAGAUGCCAAGAAAGCUGGGACCUUCUGCCAAUAAGACAGAGGUCAACCAUCUUUUUGUGUGGGCCAGUGAAUUGUGGCAUAACACAAAAUGGCUGCCAUGGAGCAUGGCAUAGCACAAAAUGGCUGCCACAUGGGCACAGCAUAGCACAAAAUGGCUGCUGUAGAGGUGUAGCAUAGCACAAAAAGGCUGUCAGAUCUAAAAGAGUAGAAAGGGACAGGCCCACAAAAUGGUACGUGUAUGCAUCAGUGUGGGUGAAAGAACCUACAUCAGCCAUUACUACACUCACUAACAGAGAGAAGCUCUUUGCACCUCUCCAUUAUUCAGAAGGUGAGUGGGUGUGCAGUACUGGAAUCACAUGAAAUGUUUAAGGCAGGUGUUCAGUGUAGGAGAGACCCAGCCAGUGCAAACAGAAACAGAGCUGGAAGAGCAAACAUCCUCGCAUACAUUGUGGAUUUUUGAAGGGGUAUUUACUGAGGCCUUUUGCAGGUGCCAUGGGAGGUAGUGGCAGGCACACUGGUGCCUAAGGGCACCACAUUGGCGAUUCCUUGAGGGUAUCUGCUCUACUACUGAACUAGUCUAAUGCAGGCGUGCUGACUCUGGAAAAAUAUUGGGGUAGAGGGGCUGACAUCGUGCACAACACCACACCCAGAUACUGUGUGUGACGCUCAGACGUCUGAUGCGACAGUGUCACAUGUCACGUUCAGGCGUUGCACGGCAGCUUGGCUUCCAUAACCGGCAGCUCCUCCGCCUCCUCCUGCCACCUCCUGCUUCCCCUCUGCAGCAGCAAGAGGAGGAGCCACCACAUUCCUGGCUCGUGCAAUUGUGCAAAGCCUCAACAUCAUGCACAACAGCGUCAUGUUUGGGCAUUGCACCCAGACAAACAUUGAGGGGGCUCAAAGGGGUUCAGCCCCUAGGAGUCGGUGCCCCUGGUCUAACCUCAUCAAUGGACAUAGGCCUGAGACGAAUUAUUUAUAUGAAAUUAGUAUAUACACAAUUAGUAGUAGUUCAAGGACUGAAUGGCAAAAUGAUCUAAAGACUGGAUACAUAGUUAACAUUUUGCAUUGCAAUGUAGUUUUAUUGCUAUGAACAAGGCUGGUUCCAGGUUUGAGGAAACCCUAAGCAGGCUGCCUUUUGGGUCCCCAGCAGCACUAUCGGUGGCUUACCUUGAAAAGCAGGAUUCCUGCUACCACUUUUCUCAGUGCCUCUCUAGUGAGAGUCUGGCAGUUUGGCUUAACAAGGCAGGGACAGAGUCGGGCAGCAGCUUACCCUGGAACAGUUGAGCUAAAACAGCUGCAAUAUCACCAUCUUUAUUACCCUAUGGAUGGUAACUGUCCAGCUUGGGGGGGGGGGACUAAUUUAAACAAAUUAAAAGAAAUGAUAGCACUAACCCUGAAUGGGUUCCAGCAUUUGCUCCUCUGUGCUGGGCACUGACAUGGGGUUGGACUACAAAACUCUGUAUGUGGUUUCGUUCAGUGGAUUUGUUGGGUUCAGAUCCCAUUUGAGCUACUUAAAUCUCAACCUCUCAGCAAUCUGUUCCAUUGGAUGGAGUCCUGUUUUGAUCUCCACCUUUUAGAUCAGGAGUAAGGAACCUUAUUCUGCUCAAAGACGGCAUUCUUUUUGUUCAGAGGCUACGUGCCAGUGGUGGGACAGAUGAAAAAGUGGGUAGAGCAAAAGCUAUGACUCUUACCUUUGUACAGAGUAGACUACAUUCAAACCCUCCCAAAAGUCAAGUAAGAAACAUUAUCAAGGAUAGAUUCUAGUCAAGCACAUGAGGGUGGUUCGAAAACAAGGCCAGUGAGGGAUGUGAUCGUUUGUGGUCUAGGAAGGGGGCACAGCCCUGGAAGAGUCCUAUGGACUAGAAGGGCCUGUGGGGGCCACAUUCAGCUUGUGGGCCUGAGGUUCUGAACUCCUGCUUUAGAUGCUUUUACUCGUGGCUUCUUUCCUAUAUUGAGGAAACUUCUGGGUGUCCUUGGGCAAGUCAUAUUAUCUCACCCUGACUCACCUUAUCUUGCCUGUAAAAUCAUAGUAGCAAUAGUAAUGGUUCUGCAUUUCACAUAAUUUUUGUGAAGAUUAGCAAGGAUAACAUGCCAGUGAGUCACUACCAACAAUAUACAAAUAGUAUUAUUUUUCUCCCACAGCAUUUAUAAACUGUUUAGUAUUUUUAAAAAAAUCUCAGCAGUGAAAUAUAAAUGUGGAGGAUGUUUCGCUUUUGGUUUUGUUUUUUAGCUCAGGGUUUCUGAGAAGAGAGAUUACACUCACACCCUGAAAGCAGACUCUGAAAGUCUGGCUCUGCUGACUGGCCAAAAUAAUAGUCAGGCAUCUGAUAUUUACAGCCAGUCCAGGCAAUCUGGAGGGUUCAUAUUGUCUGCCAAUCACAAGAACUGAUGUUGCACAAACCUCUUCCCUUCUCUACCUUCUCUCAAAGAAGCUUGUGGUAAUUUACUAGCCUCAGACACAAAGAUACUAUUGCCUGCCAUGGCAAUCUCUAAGCAGUGCAAGAUUCCAGGGGUUCCAAGCAAUUACCCAGGACUCAUGUUUCCUUUUGGAAUGUGGCCCAGCGGAGACUGUGGUGUCUUUAUGAUAUAUGGUUUAUUUACAAAAAUAUACAACUUGAGCCUACAGUGGAGGGGUUCACAGCAUUAACACCCAAGGGUCUUGCUUGUCCCUAGCUGCAGCCUUGGAUUCAAAUAGAAAUCAAACACUGCUCUGAAAAUAUUGUUCUGACUCUCUCUCCAGCUUGCUGCUUUCCUUGUAGGUGAUAUCACUCCAACUUUCAACUCUAAACUCUGGCUUUGUCCUUCUAACUGACUGAGGGCUUUGCGAGCUGACUGGGGGAAGGGACCCAUCCAUUUGUCAUCUCACACAGAGCCCCUUUCCUUUGUCUUUCUUAAUGGCUGUCACCUCAACACAGAAGAGGAGGAGUUUGGAUUUGAUAUCCCGCUUUAUCACUACCCUAAGGAGUCUCAAAGCGGCUAACUUUCUCCUUUCCCUUUCUCCCCCACAACAAACACUCUGGCUUAUAUUUUAACACUUUCUGGAUCCAGGGUUUAGAAGGGUCUUGCAUACAGCCUACUUCCUGUCUCAAUAAACUCAGCAUACCAGUCCCAGACUCAGACACAGCAUUGCAGUCUCUGAUAUAAUAUAUUCAAACUCAGGCAACAGAAAAAUAAUAUUUUUAUUGUAGAGUAUUUUGACAAAUUUACACUGCUCUACCAGCUAGGCCUCAUCCAGGCUGCUUCUUUCCAGUAGUGUUAGCUUGCUUGUUGUUUUGGUUGACUGUGUGUCAGAGCAGGAAGAAUUGGCAAAUCCAAUGUACAGCAGACUUGGAGAAGAAAACAAUUGACAAAAUAAGUAUCCACCCCUCUUUGUUUUUGCUCUCCCUUGACAGAGGUUCCUGAAUUUAAUUAUAGCUCACAGAGAAGUAUUCUGCUGAAUUACUGAAACUCUCAAUAAGGACUAGAUUCUGAUUUUCCUAAUUAGCAUCUGAGCAUUUGGAAACCUCGCCAACAUCCUCAGCCUAAAAAUGAACAUACAGGCUGCAAUGAGUCUAGUGGUUAUUUCUGCCAGCCAAGAGCUGCCAACCAAAUCUAUGAAUAUAAAAAUGUAUAGGAAAUGAGAGGGCAAGCAUCACAUGGCCUUGUAAUAUGCUUCCUGGAACAGAGCUUGACGCCAUUUGUAAUCAUCUGAAGUUUGCAAAACAGAGCUAAUGAUGUGGUGACCAAGAUGAUAGCUCAAGAGCCUGAAGUAAAAUAAAGCAAACAUUAAAAGAAAAUCAUUGUUUUACUAAUGGGAUGAGGACUGGUUUGUAAACUCAUUCUUUGUAAUGCCAAGUUGAAUUUCUAGUAACUGGGAGUAAUUCCCAGGAUACUGAAACCUCACCUACAUCUGCAUGGUAUUGGCUCACCUAGAACACUUACGUAUUAUAAACGGGCAGCAACUGAGGAGGAAUGCAGAAGACACUUCAAAGUAGGGAAUAGUUUAAGGCUUAAAACCUGUAAGACUGGAACCUUGAUUCUGAGUUAAGUGUAUGUCCUGUCAAUCAGGAUCUGGAAAAAGCCUUUUAGCUCAACAUUAAAAGGCUGAACAAUCCCUGAAUAUAUAGUUGGUAGAGUGUUGUGUUUGGACCAGGGUGACCUGGGUUUCAAAAUCUUAUGCUCAUCCAUGAGACUCUGAGUCAGUUCUUCCACCUUUCAGCCUAACCUACCUCACAGGGUUGUUGUGAGAAUAAAAUGGAAUAAUUGCCUUGGAGGGAAGGCAGGAUACACAUAUGCUUAGUAAAUAAUGAGUCAUUGACAAUGCUCUUUACACAGCAGACAGGUUCUCAAGAGUGACAGAACCACUCUCUGUGACUCCCCAUUGCACCAUCAAGGGAAAUGCAGGAAAAGGGUGUGACUAACAAAAACUUGUCUUUUGCAUGCCAUUACUUUCUGUUGUUGGUCAGCAGGCCAGGGAGCAGACUAGUUUCGCUAAAAGUUAAAGAAAGGGCAAACUUCACCAGGACUCAGUUUGGGGCAAGUCACAUUAAAAAGAAAGGGGCAGGGCUUGAGCAGGAUCAUGGAUGAGCUCUUGCAUGACUAUAGGGCUGUUAGAAAGGUUUAUUUAAGCAGGAAACAGCAACAGUGCCCCACUGUUUUUUUGAACAUUUGCGCUAUGGUAUGCACUAUGCAUCCCUAAAGCUUGGAGAGGUCCAUGAUUAUAGAAUCAUAGAAUAAUUAGAGUUGGGUGGUCUAUAAAUCUUUAUACAUAAAAAAGCCAGCUAAGCAUUUGGCUACACUGUGCCAUUUGUUUACUUUAAAAAUACAGUAGCAUUACUAAAAUGCUUUCAGGGCUUCUUUACCCUCAUUAGGCAGUGGUGGCUGGUGCCCAAUGGGGCUGGUAGGAAGGAAUGUAGGGAGGUCAACAGUAGGCGGAGCCAGAGCCAAUGACAGAUGGAAGAGCUGAUUAAUUCUAAUUUUAUUCCACCCAGACCUUGGACUGCUUGUAAAUAAAACAGCAGGUGAGAUAGGUGGGGCAGUGCCCUAUAUGCCCUAAUGGUCUACCCUCUACUGUAAUUACGGUUGGAAGGCCCCCUGUGCAUACCUAACAUCUUAGUAUCUGUACAAAUCAGUUUUUAAGUAUUUUUACUAUCAUGUUUUCUCCCUCCCCUUCAAGGAACCCAGGGAAUUCGUCAUUCUGAGAGAGGCUGGUCUCUAGCAGAAAACAUUCUGCAUCUUUACAGAACUCGUCCUUAGCUUCCCUUUGGGUAACCAAUGCUAAUUAAACAG
rnacentral:lncRNA from 1 species